rnacentral:lncRNA from 1 species
GUUAGGCAGUCUUUCCCCUCUGAUGAAUGGAUAAUUGAAUUUUUUUUAUUGAUUGAUUUGGAAAGGGGGGGGGGGGUAUUUGUUUAUUUGUUUGUUUGUUUGCUUUGGUAUGGGGUCUAUAUUAUUAUGUUUCCGGAGAAGUUUCAUGUUUAGUUUGGAAAGUUUUUCUUUUAUUUUAGAUACAGCGCGCGCGCAAGAUUGAGGAGACAUCACGUGACGCGGGUUUAUAUUAAUAAAAACUUAGUCUUUUAAUUUCUUUUUAGGUCGGGACCUUGAACAGACAACAUGUAUAGAGAUGGAAUGUACACAAUGUAAUUUCUUUUGUUAUUGUAGGAAAUUGACAACUUGAUGACAGUUCGCGGGCAGUGCAUGUUUUGGAUUUAAUUGAUCCGGUGUUACUUUAAAACACAUUUAUUGAUUAUUUUCUGAUAUUGUACAUUUUUCAGCACCUGUCUGUAACACAGAUUAGUAUUUCAAUCUCGGAGCGGACAUUUUAUUGUAGGUUUUUACUGAGAUUUACGGACCUAGCAAGCGAUUUUUACUGCAUUGCCAUUUCUUUUGUCUAGGAAAAGCUUUGAGAGAUAUCUGCACCAAGUUUUUUUAUAAAGUUUCAGUACAUGUAUGCCCUGCUGACUGCAAAUUUUGAGGUCGAUUGUACUUGUAGUUUCAGAGUACAUGUGGAUUUUUUUUCAGAAGUGACGCAAGAACAAUAUUGAAUUUCGAUUUUUCAUGAAACAUGAUUUAUUAAUCAUGAUCAUGAUUGAUUGAUUGAUUGAUUGAUUGAUCGAUUGAUUGGUUGAUUAGUUGGUUGGUUGGUUGGUUGGUUAAACACGUUGCUUAAACAUGUUGCUUAAACACGUUGGUUAAACACAUUGGAUAGGCUCAAAAUUGGAUCCCGUAUUUAACGCAUGAAACGGAAACAUGCAUUGAUUGAUUGAUUGGUUGAUUGGUUGGUUGGUUGGUUAAACACGUUGGUUAAACAUGUUGGUUAAACAUAUUGGUUAAACACGUUGGCUGGUUAAACACGUUGGAUAGGCUCAAUUUAAACAAGCGGAAAAAAAAACAUCUUGGAUACCGUAUUUAACACAUGA